rnacentral:misc_RNA from 1 species
ACUAAUAGAAUCAGGGUCAUCGUCUUUGGCAAUGUAAUUGUGGUCGCUAUUAUCAGGAUUGAGAGCUCCAAAAUGUUCCUUCAAGCUUAUGGAAGUGAAUUCAGAAGUCAAAAUACUAGGUGCAUUAUGAGUGGAACCAGAUUUUGAACUUGGUUCAUUGAGCUUAGAACAAGACUUUGGAAUGCCCUCUUUUGCUGUGCAGGAGUCACUGACUUGGUCUUGAUCAUCUUUGUAAAUU